rnacentral:tRNA from 1 species
AUUCAGAUAGUCUAAAUAGGGCGUUACAUUGAAGCUGUGAAGGUAGUUUUCUUCUGGGUA